AACUUUCAACAACGGAUCUCUUGGUUCUGGCAUCGAUGAAGAACGCAGCGAAAUGCGAUAAGUAGUGUGAAUUGCAGAAUUCAGUGAAUCAUCGAAUCUUUGAACGCACAUUGCGCCCCUCGGUAUUCCGUGGGGCAUGCCUGUUCGAGCGUCAUUU
rnacentral:rRNA from 1 species